CUCAGUCUCUGAGAGCCUCUGGUGUUUGCCUUGUGGUGUAUGCAGUAAUACUGUGUCACCAAUGCACCAAUGGGAUGGUUUAGAAUCAGACAGCUUCCUUUGACUGAUUGAAAUGCUUACAUAUGUUUGUGAAAGUUUUCUUCAUUCUGAAGCAUAAACGAAGGCAAGCAUUCUCUGAAGAUGCCAACCACAGAUGCUGGCGAAAC